rnacentral:rRNA from 1 species
GUGAGGAAUUUUCCGCAAUGGGCGAAAGCCUGACGGAGCAAUGCCGCGUGAAGGAUGAAGGCCUAUGGGUUGUAAACUUCUUUUCUCAGAAAAGAAUUAUGACGGUAUCUGAGGAAUAAGCAUCGGCUAACUCUGUGCCAGCAGCCGCGGUAAGACAGAGGAUGCAAGCGUUAUCCGGAAUGAUUGGGCGUAAAGCGUCUGUUGGUUGUUUAAAAAGUAUUCUGUCAAAGAUUAGGGCUUAACCCUAGAUAGGCAGAAUAAACUUUUAAGCUAGAGUUUGGUAGAGGCAGAGGGAAUUCCCGGUGGAGCGGUGAAAUGCGUAGAUAUCGGGAGGAACACCAAAGGCGAAGGCACUCUGCUGGGCCAAUACUAACACUGAGAGACGAAAGCGAGGGGAGCAAAUGGGAUUAGAUACCCGAGUAGUCC